UGGGGAAUUUUGGACAAUGGGGGCAACCCUGAUCCAGCAAUGCCGCGUGUGUGAAGAAGGCCUUCGGGUUGUAAAGCACUUUUGUCCGGGAAGAAAUCGCACCUGAUAAUACCGGGUGUGGAUGACGGUACCGGAAGAAUAAGGACCGGCUAACUACGUGCCAGCAGCCGCGGUAAUACGUAGGGUCCAAGCGUUAAUCGGAAUUACUGGGCGUAAAGCGUGCGCAGGCGGUUGUGCAAGACCGAUGUGAAAUCCCCGGGCUUAACCUGGGAAUUGAAUUGGUGACUGCACGGCUAGAGUGUGUCAGAGGGGGGUAGAAUUCCACGUGUAGCAGUGAAAUGCGUAGAGAUGUGGAGGAAUACCGAUGGCGAAGGCAGCGCCCUGGGAUAACACUGACGCUCAUGCACGAAAGCGUGGGGAGCAAACAGG
rnacentral:rRNA from 1 species